rnacentral:sRNA from 1 species
UCGGGGCUUCGGCCCGACAGAUUGGGCGUCGCAGAGACGCUGCGACGCUGCUUGUAACCCAUGUUGCUUUACGGAGGAUAUGGCUAUGAGAA